AGAUAUUGAGCUCUUGGGCUGUCAGAAUUCCAGUUCAUGAGGCAAUCUAUGUUAUUCUGGUCUAGCCAGGUGGAUUCUUUACUACUGAGCCAUCACGGAAGCCCCUGAACACAAACACCGCUUAAGAAAAUCAUCAAACAACAAGUGAA